GAUGAACGCUAGCGGCAGGCUUAACACAUGCAAGUCGAGGGGCAGCAGGGAUUUCGGUCCGCUGGCUACCGGCAAACGGGUGCGGAACACGUACGCAACAUACCUCUAUCUGGGGCAUAGCCUUCUGAAAAGAAGAUUAACACCCCAUAAGAUCAUAGAAUGGCAUUAUUUAGUGAUUAAAAAUUUAUUGGAUAGAUAUUGGCAUGCUUCAUAUUAGCUAGUUGGUGCGGGUAAAGGCCCACCAAGACGACGAUAGGUAGCUGGUGUGAGAGCAGGACCAGCCAGACGGGCACUGGGACACGAGCCCGACGCCUACGAGCGGCAGCAGUGAGGAAUAUUGGUAAAUGGACGCAAGUCUGAACCAGCCAUGCCGUGUGAAGGAUGAAGGCGUUCUGCGUUGUAAACUUCUUUGAUCAGGGAAGAAACCUGAAUUUUCUACUUCAGCCGACGGUACCCGAGGAAUAAGCACCGGCUAACUCCGUG
rnacentral:rRNA from 1 species